GCAUGACUGAAUUCGUCCGGCUCAUAAUUGAGAUGGCAACCAGAAUAUACUCUAUAACUCCUUAAUACAAUCAAGCCAAGUCAAGUCAACUACGACUGACCUAAAGACCAGGCCAUGCAGACCAAAAGCAACCAACCUCCAAUAUACUCUACAACCCCUUAAUACAAUCAAGCCAAGUCAAGUCAAUUACAAUUGAUCUAAAGACCAGGCCAUACAAACCAAAAGCAACCAAACUCCAAGGUCGCACAUCGGACCAGAUAGCCAUUCAGCAUGAGAAUCUUGUGCACAACCGCCCAAAAUUUUAGCAGGCCGACAGGAGGUAAAUGCCACUCCGGCGCGACUCGCAUACUGUAACAAGCUCCAAAGACUCGUCCGUCAUUGUUAACUGUUACCUAAUACAGUCAGCAUCAUAGUUGUCCAAGUACUCUAGUGCAAAAGAAAAGGGACUGGGAUUCAUUGUGGAAGGUUGCAGCAGAAAGACGUAUACAUUUCAGGUGAAUGCUGUGACAAGGGAUUUGCCUGGAGACAAUAAAGGAAUAUAUUGACAAAGAAAAAGGCUGCUGAUGAACUAAUUUAUUUGACAAAGUUGAGGCAUGGCUCUGUGGUUAUGGUUGGGAAUCCUUUUAAGGUUUUCUGCUUCAGUCAAUCACGCCUUAUCUUCAUCGUUGCGACAAAGCUGCUCCAUUCUCGGACGACAAGGAUGGAUGGUUCCUGUGCUUUCUUCAAAUAUAGAAUUCUGCAGAGGCAAGUAGGUUUGUGUUUGGUGUGGAGCUAGGACCCAUGCUGCGUUGCUCAUGUCAAUGAACCUUAAGAUGCUGCACAUAUGAAAUCCACCUUAAAAUAAAAAAACAAAGAAGAGGUUAAUGGGGUUAGUGCAGCUGCUCUAAGAAUGAUGUCAAACAUACAACAGCACAAUCUGCGAGUCCAGUAACAUAAGAGUAAAUUACUCCAACAACUUCUUUCUCCAUAGUCUGUAGAACUGAGGAACAAGAAACACAAAUCUCACAAAUAAGAGGCAGUCUCCUUUGCCAAUACUAAAGAUGUCUGGUGAACAGAGUUCUUAAAUAAGAAUGGCUAAAAGUCAUAAAUUGCUGAUGAAUUAAGUAGAGGUCCAUUUGUCGCAUCAAAUGGAGUAACAAUGCUGCAGUAAACUGCCCCAAUAGCUCUCU
rnacentral:lncRNA from 1 species